GCCUGGGAGCCCACUGACUCUACAAAGGCAAAAGGCAUUUCUGUGCCAGGCCUGCUCCCUUAUCUGAGUGAGAUGGAGGUCUGUGCAAGUUUUUAUCCAAAUGGGCCUUUUCCAUCUGUGCAGCCGUAGGCAUAACACCUUGUGCUAGUUCCCUUAUCGGUCCCUGCACCUUGAAUUUUUUCCCAGGCUGCUUUUUCUGUUAGGUGGGGAUGAGGCACUGACCCAUGGGCCAGGGACUCUCCAGAGACCCUUUUCUUGCUAUCUACCUAAGGCAAGUUAACUACCUCCUUUCAUAGGAAGAAGGAAUGCAGAGGUGUAAAAGCUGUUAGUAUUCAGACAUCACAAAAUGUAGUCUAACUCUUUAGUACAAGACUAAAUACUUCUUCUUGAAACUCCUGACUUCUUGGUUAGGAAAAACCCCAGUUUUCUUCAUGGUGAUAGCUGGUUACAUUCCUCUCGGAUGGACGUGUAGGUUUCACUGCACCUAUGAUUGUUGAAAAUGCUUGUGAAUUACUGUUUAGUAAAGUGUCUAGUAAAGGUGAAGGGGUGGGUUGCCCCUCCACACCUGUGGGUGUUUCUUGUUAGGUGGAACGAGAGACUUGGAAAAGAAAAAGACACAGAGACAAAGUAUAGAGAAAGAAAUAAGGGGGCCCCAGGGGACCAGUGUUCACCAUAUGGAGGAUCCCGCCAGCCUCUGAGUUCCCUUAGUAUUUAUUGAUCAUUUUUGGGUGUUUCUCAGAGAGGGGGAUGUGGCAGGGUCAUAGGAUAAUAGUGGAGAGAAGGUCAGCAGGUAAACACGUGAACAAAGGUCUCUGCAUCAUAGACAAGGUAAAGAAUCAAGUGCUGUGCUUUAGAUAUGCAUACACAUAAACAUCUCAAUGCCUUACAGAGCAGUAUUGCUGCCCGCAUGUGCCACCUCCAGCCCUAAGGCGGUUUUCCCCUAUCUCAGUAGAUGGAAUAUACAAUCGGGAUUUAUACCGAGACAUUCCAUUGCCCAGGGACGGGCGGGAGACAGAUGCCUUCCUCUUGUCUCAACUGCAAAGAGGCAUUCCUUCCUCUUUUACUAAUCCUCCUCAGCACAGACCCUUUACGGGUGUCGGGCUGGGGGACGGUCAGGUCUUUCCCUUCCCACGAGGCCAUAUUUCAGACUAUCACAUGGGGAGAAACCUUGGACAAUACCUGGCUUUCCUAGGCAGAGGUCCCUGCGGCCUUCCGCAGUGUUUGUGUCCCUGGGUACUUGAGAUUAGGGAGUGGUGAUGACUCUUAAGGAGCAUGCUGCCUUCAAGCAUCUGUUUAACAAAGCACAUCUUGCACAGCCCUUAAUCCAUUUAACCCUGAGUGGACACAGCACAUGUUUCAGAGAGCACGGGAUUGGGGGUAAGGUCAUAGAUUAACAGCAUCUCAAGGCAGAAGAAUUUUUCUUAGUACAGAACAAAAUGGAGUCUCCUGUGUCUACUUCUUUCUACACAGAAACAAUCCGAUCUCUCUUUCUUUUCCCCACAAAAGUUGCCUGAGAUACGUUUUAUCCUAGUUCAAUGAAAAUUAUUGUACAAAAGUGUUUAUUAUAAAAUCAACAUGAUUUGUUUAUUGUUUAUUGAUUAUAUAAUUAUAUUUAUUAUACAAUAAAUAUGAUUUUGCUAGAAGAGCAUUUUGCCAAAAGUUGUGGAAAUGUCAUUGUCAGAUUAUGGUAUGAAGCAAUUUUUUCAGGCUGAGUGGGGGUGGCUCACCUGUAAUCUCAGCACUUCGGGAGGCCAAGGUGGGAGAAAUCACUUGAGCCCAGAAGUUCAAGACCAGCCUGGGCAACAUAGCAAGAGCUUAUGUCUACAAAAAAAUUUUAAAAAUAGCCGGGUGUGGUCAUGUACACUUGUGGUCCCAACUACUUAGGGGCACUGCAGCAGGAGGAUCGUUUGAUGCCAGAAGGCUGAGGCUGCUGUCGUCCUUGAUUGUACCACUGCACUCCGGCCUGGAUGACAGAGGGAGACACUGUGUCAAAAAAAAUUUACUUUGUGCUUCUUUAUAUGAGUUACAUUAAAAAUCUUUUAUAAAUUGCAGUCCAGGUUCCAUGUCUAAUACGUUUCUUCCAUGUGUUACUUGAGUGAAAAUUUACGGGCUACAUAAAUAUGGCUGUUGUUUGGAAAGAAAAUGUUGUGACAUUAGUAUGCGCACAAGACAAUGGGAAGUACGAACUAGGAUUCCUGUAAAUACGAGAAAGGAAAAGAAUGCUUUUACUAUGUUAGAAGACUUAAAAUCACAUGAAGUGAUUCCAGUCUUUCUGUUGUUAUUCCGAUGUUUUAGCUAUUUUAGAUUUUGGGGUUUGGCUUUUUUUUGUUUCAUUGCCUUUCUACAUAAUUGGAUAACCUUGUUAGUAUCUGCAGAAUGCCCUGAUUAGGAAAUGUGUU
rnacentral:lncRNA from 10 species